GUCGGACGGGAUUGAGAAGCUUGCUUUUCAUGAGAGUGGCGCACGGGUGCGUAACACGUAUGUAACCUACCUUAAUCAGGGGGAUAGCCUCUCGAAAGAGAGAUUAACACCGCAUAAAAUCAAUUUAUGGCAUCAUAGAAUGAUCAAAUAUUUAUAGGAUUAAGAUGGGCAUGCGGAACAUUAGCUAGUUGGUAAGGUAACGGCUUACCAAGGCUACGAUGUUUAGGGGAUCUGAGAGGAUGACCCCCCACACUGGUACUGAGACACGGACCAGACUCCUACGGGAGGCAGCAGUAAGGAAUAUUGGUCAAUGGGCGCAAGCCUGAACCAGCCAUGCCGCGUGCAGGAAGACGGCCCUACGGGUUGUAAACUGCUUUUGUACCGGAAUAAACCUUUGUAUGUAUACGAAGCUGAAUGUACGGUAAGAAUAAGGAUCGGCUAACUCCGUGCCAGCAGCCGCGGUAAUACGGAGGAUCCAAGCGUUAUCCGGAUUUAUUGGGUUUAAAGGGUGCGUAGGUGGCCUAUUAAGUCAGGGGUGAAAGACGGUAGCUCAACUAUCGCAGUGCCUUUGAUACUGAUGGGCUUGAAUACACUAGAGGUAGGCGGAAUGUGACAAGUAGCGGUGAAAUGCAUAGAUAUGUCACAGAACACCAAUUGCGAAGGCAGCUUACUAUGGUGUCAUUGACACUGAGGCACGAAAGCGUGGGGAUCAAACAGGAUUAGAUACCCUGGUAGUCCACGCCCUAAACGAUGAACACUCGAUGUUGACGAUAUACGGUCAGCGUCUAAGCGAAAGC
rnacentral:rRNA from 1 species